CUGCAAUGGGCUUCCGUUCGCAGGGAAAGAGUCCCUGUUGUCUCUUCCCCGCGUUUCAUCUUCAUGUCACAUUAUGUGUGUAAAUUAUGCACAGUGUUACAUUGAACUUGUGGAUAAAAUCACUGUCUGAUAAAAGAGUGGAUGAUAUUCUCGUUGCUCAUCGGCUUUGGCACGGUUGUUGCUCGCUGACGGUGCCAGGCAAUACUGAUUGAGAGGAUUUGAAUGACCAAAGAAAUGCAAAAUUUAGCUUUAGCCCCUGUUGGCAACCUGGAAUCUUAUAUCCGGGCGGCGAA
rnacentral:sRNA from 1 species